rnacentral:misc_RNA from 1 species
AACAUCGCGCACCUGCGGGAACCUGCGGAGGGAUCAUUACAAGUGACCCCGGUCUAACCACCGGGAUGUUCAUAACCCUUUGUUGUCCGACUCUGUUGCCUCCGGGGCGACCCUGCCUUCGGGCGGGGGCUCCGGGUGGACACUUCAAACUCUUGCGUAACUUUGCAGUCUGAGUAAACUUAAUUAAUAAAUUAAAACUUUCAGCAAUGGAUCU